UCCUACCAUGUACUAACUACAUAAUUAAUUAUCCAUGACACGUGUUGUAGGGACCCCUUCUGAAAGUUCAAUAUUUCAAGCAAUAAAAGAUAUAUAAUUAAAUAAGAUUUCACCUUAACACAGCUAUGAUAAGCACAUGUGCCCAUCCACUAACUGGAUGGUUGAAACACCCGGGGGCCUAAACCUGCACAAUGAAAGAGGUGGACAAGGAGUAUGGUUUAUAGGUAUAAUCUAUGCCUAAAGCAUCUCACACAUGCAAAGUGAAUUUAGAAAGAAGCGAACCUUGCAGACGGAACCUACAAGUUGAUGCCUGCUGCCGAGGAAGUACCUGCCAAGCUACAUCACAUCGAGACCGAGCAGGAGAUUAGCAAAGCAUCCAAUGAGCUCCCCACUAACUUAGAACAGGAAGUCAAGCCCUGGAGCAUAACCCUGGUUUCUAAAAUUAUGCACUACUUAUGCUAGUUAUGUUUAUGCAUUAAGUUCAUAGGAGUUGCUUGAAACCCUAGUUGCAUGAUUU